GCGCCGCCACGGCGGGGAGGGCGGGGCUCGCGGUGGGCGCGCCGGGGGCCCAGUGGGGGAGGAGACACGGGAAACUUCAGACCGUGAACAAGCCGACGCUCUCUCCACUGAGCCACACCAGCCAGGAGUAAAAGCAGCCGAGAAUCAACAGCGGGAGUGAGAGGGAAUGCCUGUACGUCAGAGAGAGAGACGGCCGGUAAACCAGCGGGCAGGAGGGAAGAGGGCGAACGGAAGGGAACCCCAACCUGAGAAGCAAAUAGAUGCUUGAACGGAUCAGCCACCUGAGCAUCAAAAUCACCUGGUUCCCCGUACACCCAUCAGACGGCAAUACGAGAAAGUCAACGUUUCUGGCUUUAAAUAUGGAUAGCUCAUGCCCCAGCACCAUUUUUUGAAAUGAAUUGCCUUCGAACCUUUGUUAAAAAUCUCGUCUGGCCCUAGCUGGUUGGGCUCAGUGGAUAGAGCAUCGGCCUGAGGACUGAAGGGUCCCGGGUUCAAUCCCGGUCAGGACACAAGCCUGGGUUGCGGGCUCGAUCCCCAGUAGGGGGCGUGCAGGAGGCAGCCGAUCAAUGGUUCUCUCAUCACUGAAGUGUCUCUCUCUCCCUCUCCCUCUCUGAAAUCAAUAAAAAAUGAAAAACCAAAAAGCACCUCCUGUGCGGCAGUGGAGCAGGAGGGCCCAGGAGGGGGCCUGGGAUGCCACGGGGUGAGGGGAGGACAGGGCUGCGCACGGGGGCAUGGGGAGCGGGGGGCAGAGUGGCCUCGGUUCCUGCCCCGGCUGGGCCCGUGUCCCUGUACCAGACAGUCUCCCCCAAGCCCUCCACCUGUGGGGCCCCGUUUUCCAUCUGCUCUGCGCACACACACACACCUGGCCCCAGGAGGCAGUGCUUAGGGUAGACAAAGACCUAGCGCUGGGCCAGAAACCCUCUCCAGGCCGGCCAGGACCA